ACUGGAUAGGAAACAAAAAGGCAUCUUUUUGUUUUUAAAAGACCUUCUUACGAAGGUAUGCUUAAAGAGGGGCUUGCGCCACAUUAGUUAGUUGGUAGAGUAAAAGCCUACCAAGACGAUGAUGUGUAGCUGGACUGAGAGGUUGAACAGCCACAUUGGGACUGAGACACGGCCCAAACUCCUACGGGAGGCAGCAGUAGGGAAUUUUCGGCAAUGGAGGAAACUCUGACCGAGCAACGCCGCGUGAACGAUGAAGUAUUUCGGUAUGUAAAGUUCUUUUAUUGAAGAAGAAAAAGUAGUGGAAAAACUAUAUUGACGUUAUUCAAUGAAUAAGCCCCGGCUAACUAUGUGCCAGCAGCCGCGGUAAGACAUAGGGGGCGAGCGUUAUCCGGAAUUAUUGGGCGUAAAGGGUGCGUAGGCUGUUAGAUAAGUCUAUAAUUUAAUUUCAGUGCUUAACGCUGUCUUGUUAUAGAAACUGUCUUGACUAGAGUGAGAUAGAGGCAAGCGGAAUUCCAUGUGUAGCGGUAAAAUGUGUAAAUAUAUGGAGGAACACCAGAAGCGUAGGCGGCUUGCUGGGUCUUUACUGACGCUGAGGCACGAAAGCGUGGGUAGCAAACAGGAUUAGAUACCCUGGUAGUCCACGCCGUAAACGAUGAGUACUAAGUGUCGGGGUAAAACUCGGUACUGAAGUUAACACAUUAAGUACUCCGCCUGAGUAGUACGUACGCAAGUAUGAAACUUAAAGGAAUUGACGGGACUCCGCACAAGCGGUGGAUCAUGUUGUUUAAUUCGAAGAUACACGAAAAAUCUUACCAGGUCUUGACAUACUCUGCAAAGCUAUAGAAAUAUAGUGGAGGUUAUCAGGGAUACAGGUGGUGCAUGGUUGUCGUCAGUUCGUGUCGUGAGAUGUUAGGUUAAGUCCUAAAACGAACGCAACCCUUGUCGUUAAUUGCCAGCACAUAAUGGUGGGGACUUUAACGAGACUGCCAAUUAAACAUUGGAGGAAGGUGAGGAUUACGUCAAAUCAUCAUGCCCCUUAUGAUCUGGGCUACAAACGUGAUACAAUGGCUGUGACAAAGAGUAGCUGAAACGCGAGUUUUUAGCCAAUCUCAAAAAAGCAGUCUCAGUUCGGAUUGAAGUCUGUAACUCGACUUCAUGAAGUUGGAAUCGCUAGUAAUCGCGAAUCAGCAUGUCGCGGUGAAUACGUUCUCGGGGUUUGUACACACCGCCC
rnacentral:rRNA from 1 species